rnacentral:rRNA from 1 species
UACGUAGGGGGCAAGCGUUGUCCGGAAUCAUUGGGCGUAAAGCGCGUGUAGGCGGCCUUGUAAGUCCGUUCUGAAAGUCCGGGGCUCAACCCCGGGAGGCGGAUGGAUACUGCAAGGCUCGAGUACGGAAGAGGCGAGUGGAAUUCCCGGUGUAGCGGUGAAAUGCGCAGAUAUCGGGAGGAACACCAAUGGCGAAGGCAGCUCGCUGGGACGUUACUGACGCUGAGGCGCGAAAGCGUGGGGAGCAAACAGG